rnacentral:rRNA from 1 species
GACGAACGCUGGCGGCGUGCUUAACACAUGCAAGUCGAACGGAAAGGCCCUGCUUUUGUGGGGUGCUCGAGUGGCGAACGGGUGAGUAACACGUGAGUAACCUGCCCUUGUCUUUGGGAUAACUUCAGGAAACUGGGGCUAAUAUCGGAUAGGAGCUCCUGCUGCAUGGUGGGGGUUGGAAAGUUUCGGCGGUUGGGGAUGGACUCGCGGCUUAUCAGCUUGUUGGUGGGGUAGUGGCUUACCAAGGCUUUGACGGGUAGCCGGCCUGAGAGGGUGACCGGCCACAUUGGGACUAAGAUACGGCCCAGACUCCUACGGUAGGCAGCAGGGGGGAAUAUGGCACAAUGGGCGGAAGCCUGAUGCAGCAGCGCCGCGUGCGUGAUGACGGCCUUCUGGUUGUAAACCGCUUUCGCCUGUGACGAAGCGUGAGUGACGGUAAUGAGUAAAGAAGCACCGGCUAACUACGUG